AAAUGGCUUAAGGACAACAAAGUCAAUGUAUUGGAGUGGCCAUCACAAAGCCCUGACCUCAAUCCCGUAGAAAAUUUGUGUGCAGAACUGAAAAAGCGUGUGCGAGAAAGGAGGCCUUCAAACCUGACUCAGUUACAGCAACUCUGUCAGGAGGAAUGGGCCAAAAUUCUUCCAACUUGUUGUGGGAAGCUUGUGGAAGGCUACCCAAAACAUUUGACCCAAGUUAAACAAUUUUAAAGGCAAUGCUACCAACUACUAAUUGAGUGUAUGUAAACUUCUGACCCACUGGGAAUGUGAUGAAAUACAUAAAAGCUUAAAUAAAUCAUUCUCUCUACUAUUAUUCUGACAUUUCACAUUCUUAAAAUAAAAGGUGAUCCUCACUGACCUAUGACGGAAUUUUUACAAGGAUUAAAUGUCAGGAAUUGUGAAAAACGGGAAGUACUGGUGUUGAAGGUGCUGCAGCGCUCCCUGGUGGUGAGAUGGUAAAACUGCAAAGAUUUGUGUUGCAACAAGGGAUGUCUGAUGAUGAUGAUGGUCUGUCAGUGAGGGGAUUAUCACUGGCCCCAUUAUGAAGUACUUCAUUUAUCUCCGACGUAUGUUAAAAAUAUACUGUAACUAUGGCAAACUAGACAAGACAUGCCAUUAUGCUUGAAUUAAUACUACAUACUACAAUAGAUACUGUUAGUCUGGGUGAUAAUAAUCCUGGAUUUAACUCAUAUUUGACCACAGGAGGGCAGUGUAAAUCAACAUACUUAUACUACAGUACUUGGGUCAUUCUUAGGCUGCGGAAAUAUUUGAAAAUGAUAUAUAUACAUAUGUUUUUUUUUACUAAAAUAAAUGCAUUUUCUGAACAGCGCACGACAUUAAGUAGAUAUUAAACCUUCAAGAAAACCCAUUCUCCCACCUCAGGCAUUAAAGCCCUUGUUUAUUAAUGUCCAUUUCUGUCUGAUGUGGGCGCCAUUUAUCUUCAACCUCGUCACAGACAAUAUGGAAGUUGUCUGAAUGUAAAAAAUAUACAUUUACCUGAUGCUCAUGUGUUCCCUCAAAACCUGUUCAAUUAUUAUGAAUAUAAAAUGUAAAAUCUCUGAAUGUGGCUUUAUGAAACUCUGAGAUAAGACACAUUAUGUGUCAGCAGGUUCAUCAUUUCAAUAAAAACAAGCUUUCAAUUCAGCAUUUUAACAUGUGAACAGCAAUAAGGUCUCAGUCAGACAUGGAAGAGUGAACAGCAAUAAGGUCUCAGUCAGACAUGGAAGAGUGAACAGCAAUAAGGUCUCAGUCAGACAUGGAAGAGUGAACAGCAAUAAGGUCUCAGUCAGACAUGGAAGAGUGAACAGCAAUAAGGUCUCAGUCAGACAUGGAAGAGUGAACAGCCCAAUAAGGUCUCAGUCAGACAUGGAAGAGUGAACAGCAAUAAGGUCUCAGUCAGACAUGGAAGAGUGAACAGCCCAAUAAGGUCUCAGUCAGACAUGGAAGAGUGAACAGCCCAAUAAGGUCUCAGUCAGACAUGGAAGAGUGAACAGCCCAAUAAGGUCUCAGUCAGACAUGGAAGAGUGAACAGCCCAAUAAGGUCUCAGUCAGACAUGGAAGAGUGAACAGCCCAAUAAGGUCUCAGUCAGACAUGGAAGAGUGAACAGCAAUAAGGUCUCAGUCAGACAUGGAAGAGUGAACAGCCCAAUAAGGUCUCAGUCAGACAUGGAAGAGUGAACAGCCCAAUAAGGUCUCAGUCAGACAUGGAAGAGUGAACAGCCCAAUAAGGUCUCAGUCAGACAUGGAAGAGUGAACAGCAAUAAGGUCUCAGGUGACAAAAACAGAGCAUAAGAGAGAUUCUCAGGGUUCUCUGAUAAAAAAAUCUUCUGUGCAGGUUUUUCAUGGUGUCCUCCAGGAACCUUUUCUGCAUCUUGACUUCCUGCACAGUGAUCGUUUGUUUCCUCCCAGUUGUGAUCCGGCUCACAUCAUCUCCUAAAAAUAAUGCCUUGACCUUUCUCUGGAAUGCAUCGGUGUGCCGGUUAGUGUGCUUCCUUUCAAAGGUGCAAAGGCAUUGCCUCUCCAGAUGUCGCGUGACGGGGUUGAUUUUUUGGGGCUCAAAAUGGCCUCUGCUCCUCAUGUGGUGAAGGACAGGAGACCACAUGGUGUGCAUGAAAUGAAUAGAUUGUAUAUUUUUUAUGGGUUAAAGUAUCAUUUUGAAAAGUACUAGUUUUCCAUCUUUAUUUCAUGUGACCGGGUUGAGUAGGUCAGCUCGACCAUCCCCACCUGACUUUAAAAAACAACCAAACACAGAUAUAAAACAACGUGAUUACUUGCCUGUUUCUGUACCAUGAAGAUGUAAAUUGUUAAAUGAUGUCACUUCCUGUUAAUGAUGGCACAUAAAGGGUGGACUGAGCAUUUCUAUUAGCAGAGUUUGGUUGGUGUGACGGGGUUGAGUAUAGACUGAGGGACAGAGGGCAAUUUGUGUCAUUUUAAUCAAUAAUCAUGUAUUUAUUUGAUAAAAAUACAUUCUCAACAAAAUAACACACAUCUGAUUACAUUAAUGGAAGAAGUUAUUAAUUAUGUGCACAUUUUCAUAUUAAUUUCCCAAGUAAAAAUUAUGUCAAACGCCUGGGGGACAUGACACAAUUCUUAGUGUCAGUUAAAAAAUAAGAUGUUUUUUAUAAUAAGGUUUCAAUUAAUACUAUAUUUAUUUCAAUUCAUUAUACUGGACAUUUCAAUGUUUAUACAAAAUCUGUUAACGUUUCAUUUCGGUGACCCAA